GACGAACGCUGGCGGCGUGCUUAACACAUGCAAGUCGAACGGAAAGGCCCUGCUUGCAGGGUACUCGAGUGGCGAACGGGUGAGUAACACGUGGGUGAUCUGCCCUGCACUUCGGGAUAAGCCUGGGAAACUGGGUCUAAUACCGGAUAGGAGCCAUUUUUAGUGUGAUGGUUGGAAAGUUUUUUCGGCGUAGGAUGAGCUCGCGGCCUAUCAGCUUGUUGGUGGGGUAAUGGCCUACCAAGGCGGCGACGGGUAGCCGGCCUGAGAGGGUGGACGGCCACAGUGGGACUGAGAUACGGCCCAGACUCCUACGGGAGGCAGCAGUGGGGAAUAUUGCACAAUGGGCGCAAGCCUGAUGCAGCGACGCCGCGUGGGGGAUGACGGCCUUCGGGUUGUAAACUCCUUUCGCUAGGGACGAAGCUUUUUGUGACGGUACCUAGAUAAGAAGCACCGGCUAACUACGUG
rnacentral:rRNA from 1 species